CAGGCUUCCCACCGACCAGAGAACCGGAUAUGGGGCUCAAUCCCAGGACACUAGGAUCAUGACCUGAGCCGAAAGCAGACGCUUAACUGACUGAGCCACCCAGGCGCCCCAAUAGAAUUCUUUUAAUAGAAACACCAAAAGUUGCUUGUUUGUGAAAUUUCACACCACAGGAAAAUGUGAUUUUUCAAGCAGAAAAGAAUUAUUGUAAGAGUUAGCUCAUUUUGGACCCAGGAUGGAUUUUAACAACCAGGGAAGGAACUGGAACAUGCUCUAAAGAGAAGUAAGAGAGUUAUAGUUUUCAGAUUUCACUUGAAAGAUUUCCGAUGAAAGAUCCAGAUUUCUGCAUUCUUGAUAUUUGGUAUUUGCCACAUUGGGUUCCAGGCCCUCGGUUACCUGUCUGGCCCCUAUAAGCCUCUUAGUUUAAGAUCUCUUGAUUUAGGCCAAAUUUUGUCCUGCCGUCCCUAUCCCAAUCUUGAAGAUGAAGGAACUGAAAUGCAAGAAAGGUGAUUUUCUUAAAGUUUCACUGGCAAAGUCAACAAGGAAUGACAUGGUACAAGGAUAAUUUUACUUUGUACAGCAGCUUGAAAUAUAUUGUCUCUUCCUCACAGCUCUAAAAGAUAAACAUCACUACACCCAAAACUAAUGUAACAUUGCGUGUCAACUACACAUCAAUAAAAAAACAAACGUAGACAUCUUUGUUCCCUUUUCAUAGAGGAGGGAGAGGGUUGAGAGAGAAAGAAACUAGGUAACUUGACCAAAAUCACACAGCUGAUCAGCAGUGGAGACAAUGUUCAAUUAAACCCACAUCCAUCCUAGUCCUUUUAUCACACAAUAAUAUAAGAUCCUGUAAGACAAACCCACAGAAAAUUUCGGCUGGCCAUCGACUGGCUAUGUGAUAGAGGGAUGUUACUCCACCUAUCUUGAGUUCAGCUUUUUGGUCUCUAAACUGAACCAGAGGUGGGGG